GAUGAACGCUAGCUACAGGCUUAACACAUGCAAGUCGAGGGGCAUCAGGAAGAAAGCUUGCUUUCUUUGCUGGCGACCGGCGCACGGGUGCGUAACACGUAUGUAACCUGGCCUUUACAGGGGGAUAGUCAGAGGAAACUUUGAAUAAUACCCCAUAACACACCAUUAAGGCAUCUUAAAGGUGUUAAAGGAGCGAUCCGGUAAAGGAUGGGCAUGCGACCGAUUAGACAGUUGGUGAGGUAACGGCUCACCAAAUCCACGAUCGGUAGGGGGUCUGAGAGGACUACCCCCCACACUGGUACUGAGAUACGGACCAG
rnacentral:rRNA from 1 species